GGGAGUGUAGUGUCAACGGUUAGCACGUCGGUCUCCAAAACCGAAAGUGGUGGUUCGAAUCCAUCCACUUCUGCCA
rnacentral:tRNA from 1 species